GAUGAACGCUGGCGGCGUGCCUAACACAUGCAAGUCGAGCGAUUCUCUUCGGAGAAGAGCGGCGGACGGGUGAGUAACGCGUGGGUAACCUGCCCUGUACACACGGAUAACAUACCGAAAGGUAUGCUAAUACGAGAUAAUAUGCUUUUAUCGCAUGGUAGAAGUAUCAAAGCUCCGGCGGUACAGGAUGGACCCGCGUCUGAUUAGCUAGUUGGUAAGGUAACGGCUUACCAAGGCGACGAUCAGUAGCCGACCUGAGAGGGUGAUCGGACACAUUGGAACUGAGACACGGUCCAAACUCCUACGGGAGGCAGCAGUGGGGAAUAUUGCACAAUGGGCGAAAGCCUGAUGCAGCAACGCCGCGUGAGCGAUGAAGGCCUUCGGGUCGUAAAGCUCUGUCCUCAAGGAAGAUAAUGACGGUACUUGAGGAGGAAGCCCCGGCUAGCUACGUGCCAGCCGCCGCGGUAA
rnacentral:rRNA from 1 species